GAUGAACGCUGGCGGCGUGCCUAAUACAUGCAAGUCGAGCGAACAGACGAGGAGCUUGCUCCUCUGACGUUAGCGGCGGACGGGCGAGUAACACGUGGAUAACCUACUUAUAAGACUGGGAUAACUUCGGGAAACCGGAGCUAAUACCGGAAAAUAUAUUGAACUGCAUGGUUCAAUAGUGAAAGACGGAUUUGCUGUCACUUAUAGCUGGAUCCGCGCCGCAUUAGCUAGUUGGUAAGGUAACGGCUUACCAAGGCAACGAUGCGUAGCCGACUUGAGAGGGUGAUCGGCCACACUGGAACUGAGACACGGUCCAGACUCCUACGGGAGGCAGCAGUAGGGAAUCUUCCGCAAUGGGCGAAAGCCUGACGGAGCAACGCCGCGUGAGUGAUGAAGGUCUUCGGAUCGUAAAACUCUGUUAUUAGGAAAGAACAAAUGUGUAAGUAACUAUGCACGUCUUGACGGUACCUAAUCAGAAAGCCACGGCUAACUACGUG
rnacentral:rRNA from 1 species